GAAUAUUGAAGAACAAUGGGCUUGGUGAGGCAAGGUGGCCUAGCAGAGUGUUUUCUAUAAGGUUUGCACCCUGUCAGACCAUACUUGUUUUAACUUGACCCU
rnacentral:pre_miRNA from 1 species